rnacentral:lncRNA from 1 species
UACAGCCAGGAAACCACUAGAAGCACCUGGGCUUCUGUCGGAGGCUUCAAGCUCAUCCCUCAGGCGGGGCUGGGCCUCCGGUUCACCUGGAGUCCAGCAUGGGACCCUGUGCUGAGCCUGAGGCUCCUCUGCGUGGAGACAGCCCCACCCUCCCUGAGCUGGCUCCUUAGGGGCCUCACUGGGAAAAGCCAGGUCCCUUCCCACCCAUCCAUGAGAUGCCACCUCUGUGACAUGUUUUCUUGGAUGUAUCAGUAAGUCUUGAGGUGUCUUUGAUUCAGUUCCUCUCUCUGUACUAGGAACAUCCAGACUUAAUACUAUAGCUUCUUUCUAGGUUUUGAUAAUAGCCUCCCCUUUUUGUUCUCGAAAAUUCUCUUGCCCAUUCUUCAGUCUAUCAACUCUUGGUUCACUGUCAGCUAUCCCCUGGGCUGAGCACCUGGGCUGCAGCCAUAAACAGGACCUGAAGCCCCCACUGUGCGGCUCAGACAGGGAAUGAGGAGUGACACGGCGUCGCCCACAUCCAGCUUUCCCCAGACACCUCAAUCCUAAGAAUUACCCGCAGCUUCUUAAGAACUCUCAUUCCUCUGGAAACAGACAAGUGUCCAGCCACAGAUGAGUGGAUAAACACAGUGGUCUAGCCAUACAAUAGGAUAUGAUUCAGCCAUAAAAAGGGGUGAAGCACUGAAAAUGCUACAACACGGAUGAACCCGGAAAACAUGAUGCUCAGUGAGAGAAGCCAGACACAAAAGGGCAGAGAUUGCAUGAUCCCACUGAUUCUUCAUAUUCGUUCUAGGUGUGACACUUCUGGAACAGGCAAGUCCAUAGAGACAGCAAGAAGACCAAAGCUGACAACCAUCUGGGCCGUUUCCACCUUUGGGCCAUCGUGAGAAUCACGCUGCUAUGAACGUUCGGGAACAAGCUUUUGUGUUCCCCAGGGUACCUGGACACCUACCGGAGUCAUGGACCAGCAAUGCAGGUGCUGUUGAUGUUGGGGGCAUUGGGGGCAGAAAUGGCAGCAGCCAACAUGCUGGGGAUCCAUCCGUCUAGGUUCCACACCUUGCUUAAGGGCCAGCUUUGUGGCAGACCUGGAUACACCGGAGCUGGGGGAUCUUGAGGGAACAGGACCCAAGCCAUACCUUCUGCAAGGCCACAUGGAGAAUGUGAGUUUCUGGGCCCCCACACUCCCACCCCAGUCACUGACCAUCUGCCAGGCCAGCUGCACCUAGAGGCGGUGAGUCUCACCCCAAAUAUUUAACCCCUGACUCUGCAGUGCAUCGUUAGGGUCUGUACUGUGGCUCAAGUGGGGGCCUUUGUCUCUCUUGGGCCCAGUCCCACCUCAGGCACAGGGCCAGCUCCCAAACCAGCCCUUUCAUGGAUUGUGGCAGAUGCAAGAAAAGCCACCUUCUGGACUCUAUCCUGGCUGGGCCUGUUGUUCCAGCCGAAGCCCCCCAGAGGACAUGGGAGUUGUGGGGCAAUGACCACUGCCUCAGGGACCUUGGACUCCUGAUGGGACAAAGCUGUGAGCGGUAGCAGGAAGCUAUGAGCAGACAGGCCAGGCCCAAGGCCCACUGGGCUGCUUGCUGCUUAGACAGCCUCAGGCAAGUGCCCUACCCUCGUACAGCCUCCGCUUCUCCAUCUGUCCUCUGGCGAUGACCACAAAGGCAUCCUGGGCAUUUGCCACUUGCUGUGGGCUUUGCCAGACCUCAGACAUAUUCACAGGCACCAGCUCAAUAUCAUCCUUGCCCUAAGUCCCCGGGGAGGUUGGUGUGCCCCUUUGAAGAAGGGGAUGAAGAAACCAAGACUCUGAGACAUCAAAGCACUUGCUCAGGGUCACACAGCUGGUGAACCGCGAUUCUCCCCGCAAGCAAUCUCACUCCAGAGGCAUGUGAUCGACUGGGCUAGAAGUUACUCAUGGGGAUGCUAGGAAAAUCACACCAAUAACAAUCUCCACCAUCGUAAUAUGAGCUAAUACUUACUCUCUACGUGCCAGGCUCCUCACUGUUUCUGACUCAAUCUUCAUGACAACCCUGAGAGCUGGGUGUUAGCAUGGGAAGCUGGCCAGCUGCAGAUCCCUGAGACCUGUCCCUGCUUCUCCCUCCACUGGUUCUACCUGGGAACGCGUCUCCUGCGCAUCCUCCUCCAUCUGCCCCUCUGGCCUCACCUUGAUCAAAGUCACCACUUCUUACCUGGCCCAAUGCAACAGCCACCCACUCUCUUUUCUGAGAGCAUUUGGGAGCACAGGUGAAGAUAACUGAGGCUCACAGAAGUUAAGAAACUGGUCCGAGUUUACACAGCUGGGAAGUGGUGGUGCCAAGAUUCGAACCCAUGAAGACGGGCUUCAAAAAGCCACCUUCUCAGUACAAAGGGGACAUCAGUAUCAAUCCACACCCACCCCUUACAGACAAAGGGACAAGAGACAUCGGAGAGACAGGAUGAUGGGACCAGGCAUUCACCACCCAGGGAAGCAGAGUGAUUUACAGUUUGUUGUCAUUUUCAUCAGUACAAUUAAUCCCAGUGGUUGGUUGGGUAAGGAUUAGUGAUGGUAAACGGAGACUGAGUCAUUCUCCUAAGUUGUCCCCACAAGGGACUCCCAGCCUGUCCCUCCAAACAGACCUUUCAGGCGGAAGCAACUGCCAUUGAGUGAGCACCUUCCUGGCCCACACCCUACCCUAGCACCGGAAGCAGGUUUCAUCUCUGAUCCUUAUAACAACUAGUUGAGGUACGUGCUAUCAUAGCUCCAUUGCAGAUGAGGAAACUGAGCCUCAGGAAGACCACUUGCUCAGGGUCAAUAGGUUAGUAAGAGGUCUAUGCUUGUAACUGCUGCAGCCCCAACUGGGCACUUUCUAGAUAUUCAGUAAUUGCCAAAUAAAUUUUCGACCCCACCCCACCAACUCUUUGUCAUCUCUCUGCCCCUUACAGGCCCUGGCAACAGGCCCUUCACCAUUAACAAGCCCCCAGAGAUAUGAAUUGUCCACAUGCUAUAAAAUACCUGCUCAAUUUCACACCUAUUUAUGGAGCCCCAAGCUUAUGUAAGGCCUGGAAUUAAGGACAACAGAAGGCCCUCUCCCAAAAGAUGAGUAAAUCCCAACUAUUCAAAAGCUUGUAAGCUAGUAGGUAGGUUAAGGAAAAACACCCCAAUGGGUAUAAUUACAAAGAUUUGGCUUGGCGCGGUGACUCAUGCCUGUAAUCCCAGCACUUUGGGAGGCCGAGGCGGGCA